rnacentral:lncRNA from 1 species
CCGCACAACCGAAAACAUCAGCAAGCAGACUCCUAUAAAAGACUGACCUGACCGAUGACGACAUUGUGUCAACACUGCACUAAAACCGACCAGAAAAGCGCAUCACCUCCCCCGGAUUAAUGAAAUCCUCAGCCGCCAUCGGCCAAGCACACCUUCCUUCCCUAUACACAUAACAAUUGAGAAUAAGGCCCGAGGCCCCUAUCUGACUUCGUCGAUCCAGUGAUCGGCGACGAGGCACGCCAGCAAGGCGACAUGGCAGCCGUCACCGGAGGAAGAAAUCCAGGUUUCAGACAGCAGGGCCGAAGGCUGGUGACCAUGGAUGAAAACAGGUUUCAACUUAGCCCGUGGAUCCUGGAUGGAAACAUCUCCCAAAAGUGCAGAGAAUCCAGCUCCCGGAUACCAUGUCAUUAAAGCAUCAGCCAUCAACGACACUUUGCACCGAGGUUAGCGACACAUGGCACAUAUGAUGUGCAGCCCCGGGAGCACCAGACCCCACCUGGACAAAGGACAGCAGCCCUCCUCGCCCCGACGCCUCCUAUAUUUAAAGUACCCAGCGUUGGCUCUUGCUCUAUAUCUCCCUGCAGUAGACAUCGCAUUCAGGCACACAUAAUCAGCAAUUCAGCAGAGUCGCCACCAUGGGCGCCACCAAUCAUACCUUGCAAGCGCUGCUCCCAUGGCUCCUCCUGUUCGUGCAGCAGGCCGCC